AUUGAACGCUGGCGGCAUGCCUUACACAUGCAAGUCGAACGGUAACGGGCCUUCGGGUGCCGACGAGUGGCGAACGGGUGAGUAACAUAUCGGAACGUACCUUUCAGUGGGGGAUAACGUAGCGAAAGUUACGCUAAUACCGCAUAUUCUGUGCGCAGGAAAGCAGGGGACCUUCGGGCCUUGCGCUGAUUGAGCGGCCGAUAUCAGAUUAGCUAGUUGGUGAGGUAAAGGCUCACCAAGGCGACGAUCUGUAGCGGGUCUGAGAGGAUGAUCCGCCACACUGGAACUGAGACACGGUCCAGACUCCUACGGGAGGCAGCAGUGGGGAAUUUUGGACAAUGGGGGCAACCCUGAUCCAGCCAUGCCGCGUGAGUGAAGAAGGCCUUCGGGUUGUAAAGCUCUUUCGGCCGGGAAGAAAUCGUAUGGGCUAAUACCCUGUGCGGAUGACGGUACCGGCAUAAGAAGCACCGGCUAACUACGUGCCAGCAGCCGCGGUAACAC
rnacentral:rRNA from 1 species